AACGAACGCUGGCGGCAGGCUUAACACAUGCAAGUCGAACGGGUGUAGCAAUACAUCAGUGGCAGACGGGUGAGUAACACGUGGGAACCUUCCUAGGGGUACGGAACAACUCAGGGAAACUUGAGCUAAUGCCGUAUACGUCCGUGAGGAGAUAGAUUUAUCGCCCUUAGACGGGCCCGCGUCGGAUUAGCUAGUUGGUGGGGUAACGGCCUACCAAGGCGACGAUCCGUAGCUGAUCUUAGAGGAUGAUCAGCCACACUGGGACUGAGACACGGCCCAGACUCCUACGGGAGGCAGCAGUGGGGAAUCUUGGACAAUGGGCGCAAGCCUGAUCCAGCCAUGCCGCGUGAGUGAAGAAGGUCUUCGGAUUGUAAAGCUCUUUUGCCAGGGACGAUAAUGACGGUACCUGGAGAAUAAGCCCCGGCAAACUUCGUGCCAGCAGCCGCCGUAA
rnacentral:rRNA from 1 species